CAGGUUAUUCUAGUAGUUAGGUAUUUCAUUUACAUUGAAAAUUUUAUUGUGCAAUUCAAUAUAACUUGA
rnacentral:tRNA from 1 species